AAAUUGAAGAGUUUGAUCAUGGCUCAGAUUGAACGCUGGCGGCAGGCCUAACACAUGCAAGUCGAGCGGUAGCACAGAGAGCUUGCUCUCGGGUGACGAGCGGCGGACGGGUGAGUAAUGUCUGGGAAACUGCCUGAUGGAGGGGGAUAACUACUGGAAACGGUAGCUAAUACCGCAUAACGUCGCAAGACCAAAGUGGGGGACCUUCGGGCCUCAUGCCAUCAGAUGUGCCCAGAUGGGAUUAGCUAGUAGGUGGGGUAACGGCUCACCUAGGCGACGAUCCCUAGCUGGUCUGAGAGGAUGACCAGCCACACUGGAACUGAGACACGGUCCAGACUCCUACGGGAGGCAGCAGUGGGGAAUAUUGCACAAUGGGCGCAAGCCUGAUGCAGCCAUGCCGCGUGUGUGAAGAAGGCCUUCGGGUUGUAAAGCACUUUCAGCGGGGAGGAAGGCGAUAAGGUUAAUAACCUUGGCGAUUGACGUUACCCGCAGAAGAAGCACCGGCUAACUCCGUGCCAGCAGCCGCGGUAAUACGGAGGGUGCAAGCGUUAAUCGGAAUUACUGGGCGUAAAGCGCACGCAGGCGGUCUGUCAAGUCGGAUGUGAAAUCCCCGGGCUCAACCUGGGAACUGCAUUCGAAACUGGCAGGCUAGAGUCUUGUAGAGGGGGUAGAAUUCCAGGUGUAGCGGUGAAAUGCGUAGAGAUCUGGAGGAAUACCGGUGGCGAAGGCGGCCCCUGGACAAAGACUGACGCUCAGGUGCGAAAGCGUGGGGAGCAAACAGGAUUAGAUACCCUGGUAGUCCACGCCGUAAACGAUGUCGAUUUGGAGGUUGUGCCCUUGAGGCGUGGCUUCCGGAGCUAACGCGUUAAAUCGACCGCCUGGGGAGUACGGCCGCAAGGUUAAAACUCAAAUGAAUUGACGGGGGCCCGCACAAGCGGUGGAGCAUGUGGUUUAAUUCGAUGCAACGCGAAGAACCUUACCUGGUCUUGACAUCCACAGAACUUUCCAGAGAUGGAUUGGUGCCUUCGGGAACUGUGAGACAGGUGCUGCAUGGCUGUCGUCAGCUCGUGUUGUGAAAUGUUGGGUUAAGUCCCGCAACGAGCGCAACCCUUAUCCUUUGUUGCCAGCGGUUAGGCCGGGAACUCAAAGGAGACUGCCAGUGAUAAACUGGAGGAAGGUGGGGAUGACGUCAAGUCAUCAUGGCCCUUACGACCAGGGCUACACACGUGCUACAAUGGCAUAUACAAAGAGAAGCGACCUCGCGAGAGCAAGCGGACCUCAUAAAGUAUGUCGUAGUCCGGAUUGGAGUCUGCAACUCGACUCCAUGAAGUCGGAAUCGCUAGUAAUCGUAGAUCAGAAUGCUACGGUGAAUACGUUCCCGGGCCUUGUACACACCGCCCGUCACACCAUGGGAGUGGGUUGCAAAAGAAGUAGGUAGCUUAACCUUCGGGAGGGCGCUUACCACUUUGUGAUUCAUGACUGGGGUGAAGUCGUAACAAGGUAACCGUAGGGGAACCUGCGGUUGGAUCACCUCCUUA
rnacentral:rRNA from 1 species